rnacentral:rRNA from 1 species
AACGAACGCUGGCGGCGUGCCUAAGACAUGCAAGUCGUGCGGAAAGGCUCCUUCGGGAGUACUCGAGCGGCGCACGGGUGAGUAACACGUGGGUAAUCUACCUGAGGGUCUGGGAUAACCCCGGGAAACUGGGGCUAAUACCGGAUGAGACCACGGCGUCCUCGGACGCAGCGGUCAAAGGUGGCCUCUCCUUGGAAGCUAUCGCCCGCAGAUGAGCCCGCGUCCCAUUAGCUAGUUGGCGGGGUAACGGCCCACCAAGGCGACGAUGGGUAGCUGGUCUGAGAGGAUGAUCAGCCACACUGGAACUGAGACACGGUCCAGACUCCUACGGAGGCAGCAGUCGGGAAUUUUGGGCAAUGGGCGAAAGCCUGACCCAGCAACGCCGCGUGAGGGAUGAAGG